UUUCCAACAGUAGACCCUAUCCUCUCAAUGGAUUACUUUUCCAGCAAAGCCUCCUUAAGGCAAGACAUCCAACAGGGUUGGAUGCCCUAACCCUGGCAGUGUUCAAAGCCAGGCCGGAUAAGGCCUUGGGCAACCUGGUCUAGUGGGAGGUGUCCCUGCACAUAUCAGGGGGGUUGGGACUAUGUAGUGUUUAAGGUCCAUACCAAUCCCUUAACAUUCCAUGAUUCUACGUUUCUGUGACAUGAAAGGCUUGGAUGUAGAAUUCCCACAAGCAAUCUAUACCUCACAAAGCUGCACCUUUCCUCAGCUUUCCUGACAAUUUCCCAAUAUGUUCUCCAACUAUGUGCCGAGACUGACCUUUUCCUCCCUAAGAGAUAUCAGUUAAGCCCACAGGAAAGGCACAUCUGUCUCAUGGCUGAGAGCUGGCCAGGAGCUCUGCAAAUGUUGGCUGCUCUGUCAGGAUAACUGGAGAAGGUGUCACCCUUUGUGGCAGCAUUCACACCAUUCACACUGAGAGCUCAGUUGUGUGAUGAGCAUUCCAUGCUUAAAACAGCUCAUGCAUGUGAGGUGCGAUGCUCGCCUGGUCCAGGAUCCAAGGCGGCCUUCGGAGCAGAAAAUGGAUGCACCACACACCUCCCUGUGCUCCCUGGUAGCCUUGAUCCCAGGGAAGAUGCAGGUUCUGCUGCUCUGAGCCAUGAGCAGAGCAGCACCACAUUCCAGUCUACCACUGUCCAGCCUGCCCAUGGAAUUUCAGCAUGGAGGGGUGAGAUUUAUCCCCCUGUGAACCCACAACAUGAUACUGAGCUAUACCGAUGGACCUGGCAAAUCGCACGGAGUAAAAUCUCUACUGGAAAUCCCUCAGUGGAAGUCCGCUGGGAAUUUCACACGUGCUUCCAGGAAUUAAGUGACAUCAUCAGUAGCUGCUUUCUAACAUCCACUGCCCCUCUCAGAGGGGUCCUCUCUACCUGCCAGCACUUACCCAGCACACACAUCUCACUGUGUUUGAGAGAUCAGACUCCCAAGGCAGAUUUUCAUAGACUACAACUAAGGUAGUAGCAGUGUUUAUUUUCUCAGCUAUGUUACAGAAUUUUUUUCUCAUGUUGCAGAAAAUUAAUUUAAAGAAAAUUCGAAAUAAAUUCAAAUAAUGGCAUUUCUUAUGUUUUUACAAAAAGCCCUAAGCUUUUUAAAUGUAAUUUACAAUGAAGGAGACAAAAUGAUUUUGAACUCUUUAGCAAAAGACCAUGUCAAGUUAAAAAAGUGAUUGAAAAGAAAUUACAUCCUGGUAAAUUAUAUUACAGACAGCUAGUUGUCCAAAAGGAACACUUUGGACUGUGAUACACAUCAAAAUGAAUGUAAUUAUCCCUAAAAAUCAGAGAAUCUGUAAGUUUACCUAAAAACCAGGAAAUGAGCUUUUAAUUGUUUCCACUGCAGACACAAACAAAAGACAUUGAUUAGCUUACUGGGCUCAAGAGAGGUAAUUAUUUUGCAGCAGAUGCAUCUGCAAGAGCAAUUCUGUGACAGGUCCAGAUUUAAUCUGCCUUUAUUUUAUGAAGACCAUCUGCACAAAUUACUUUUUCCCUCAGAUUUUAGUUUUUGAGAUGAACUCUGCUCAGACAGAAUGCAAAACUCAAUUACAGCCCAGUAUCAGGACCUCCUGAUGCUAGAGACCCAUGCUACAGACUGUGUCUAAUGAAAGGCCCCAAGCUGAAAGCAAUUUAAUUUCCUUUUAAAAAAAACCCAAACACUCCCC